UUGCUUGAUUGGCCAUCGUAUCUACUAAGAUUUGAACAAUACUGAGAAGAUUAACAUGGUCCUAUGCAAGGAUGAAAUGCAAAUUCACCAACUGUUCUGUAUUGAA
ensembl:snRNA U6 U6 spliceosomal RNA